AUACGGAGGGUGCAAGCGUUAUCCGGAAUCACUGGGCGUAAAGGGUGCGUAGGCGGUUUGAUAAGUCUGAUGUGAAAUCCUAUGGCUCAACCAUAGAACUGCAUUGGAAACUGUCAGACUAGAAUACUGAAGGGGCAGAUGGAAUUAGUGGUGUAGGGGUAAAAUCCGUAGAUAUCACUAGGAAUACCGAAAGCGAAAGCGAUCUGCUGGGAAGUUAUUGACGCUGAGGCACGAAAGCGUGGGGAGCAAACGGGAUUAGAAACCCUAGUAGUCC
rnacentral:rRNA from 1 species